GUCCCUGUAGGGCAAUGGAUAGCUCGUUGAAUUUCCAAUCCAAAGUUCGUGGGUUCGAAUCCUACCUGGGAUG
rnacentral:tRNA from 1 species